CACUUCUGCUGCUUGUUGAUGUGUGAGGCACCAUUUUUGCUCAAAGUGCUCAUGACUAACAGCAGGAGCUACCACUUACAGCAUAAACAGCCUGGGAUUCUCCAUUGCUGCCCACAGCCCCACGGCAGCUCCAGGUCUCACCCCUUGGCGUUAAGGUGAUGUUCCUGCUGAGUUGCCCUGCGCUGGUUAGUGGGACUUUGCACUCCCUGCACCAAAAUUGUGUUUGAAGCUCAGUUUCCAUGCUUGGCAUCAAGCAGACCUAUUGUCCUCGGUGGGACAACGUGGGUGACACCCCUCAGGUUGAUUGCUCUGAACCUCCUUCCCUGCUCAGCCGCUGCCCUGGGGAGGGGCUGGCUUCGGCAGCUGCCCCAGGACCUGCCUCCAUGGGGUGGGUACCCAGGCAGGGGGAGGGAGAGGAAACAGAGGCUCCUGGAAGGCACUGAGGAAGCUGGAAUUAAAAGUGGCAAGGAAAAGGAAGAAGAAAGAAGAAAGAAAGGGAAGCCAAAGUAGAAAUUCAGAUAGUCUCUGGAGCUGGGGGAAGGAGUCAGUCUGUUAGUCAGCCUUUACUCUGCCGCUGUUAAGCUCUACCCACUGAACGACUCCAAUUAGUAAUUAUCAGUAUAUGCCAGCUGUUAUUUCAGUCCUGGCAACAUCUGCAUUUAGAGAACAUCUGUUUUUUUCUGUGAAGCUGCAAGUGCUGUAGUUAACACGUUGGUAUUUAAUAUUUUGGGUUUGGUUUUUUUUGGUUUUUUUUUAAAUCUUCAACCUGUUCUGCACUGCCAUGCUAGCAAUACACGUGAAAACAAAACUCAGCAGUUCAAAAUUACUAUAAAUUAAUGAACUUCUCCUUUCCACGUUUGUCUCCAGCCUCAAAGCCCUGUCUCAAUGUACUCACUCAAAAUAAACCCAAUAGAAGUUGCAACAUUUUAGCACAUUUCACAUAAGGCUAUUCCUGGCACAUGCUGAAAAGCAUCUAUUUUAAUGGGGCUUGAGGGGUGUGGGCAAACCAUUUAGCCGGUUGAUGGGAGGAGGUGCCUGUAUCAAUAGCAACUGAAGCAUCUCUACAAGAGGAAAAGAAAAGAAGAAACCUCCAGAGAGAGAGAUGCUAUUCAGUUGUUGAGGCUUUCAGAUCUCAGGGCAUCUCCUAUUUUAUUUAUAGCUCCUCUGUGACUAAAUAUUAUUUUUCAAUUACUAUAUUGUGUUUUUUUCGGUUGGGCUUCUUAUCCUUUCUUCGAAGCAACGUGACCACAUAGUAAACUGUUUUUGAGGAGUGUUUGCUGUUUGAGGUUACAAGAUGAAACCACAGAGUUCCUUAUCUUGUCUUUCUGCAUCUGUUUUUACAUGAGCUAGCAGAGCAAAAGAGCAAAGCAGUAACGACCGAAAACUCCUUUUGCCCCUCUCCCCACCCAUAUUUUUGAAGCCACGGGAGAAGUCCCCAGUAGGAUCCAGCUGCCGGCCCUCUUUGGGUUUUUUUGUCUGCAAACCAGCAUUCACUAUUUCAUGGCUGCUCAGUCUUGACAGAAAACAUGUCUGGACAUGGAAGCUGGUGGGAGUUUUGCUCGGCAUGUGGAGGUCUGCUAUGAAUACCAGAGUGGAAAGCUGCUGGCACCCAACAAUCUCACAGUGAAAAGUUUUCAGGACACCAUGCGUGCUGUGCUGGCUCCAUCCUGCAGACAGUCUUGAUUUGCAUUCUGAAGAGGAGCUCUUCCAUAGUCACCUAUGCCAAGCACAUGGACACCACAGACAGACUGGGUGUCUUCUCCUGCUCUGUAGGCAGAAGCUACCCCAGAUUUCCAUGUGGACAGUCACAGCUGAGGAAGGAUUGAUUGUCUCUGAUGGACACGGCAGCUGGAGGAGAUGUCUGCAACCCAGGAUAACUGGUAGUAGAAGGGAAGCAGCAUGCACAAGGUCUCACCAGUGGGAAAAAAUGGUGCUUCUCAUCUGCAUGUUGCAAAUUAUUUCACCCUAAAUGAGGUGAGAAGGUUCAUGGGCCAAGACAAAAGUUGCAUCAAAGAGAGGUCUGAUUGAAUACUAGGAAAAAGCCCAAACAACUUUGGAAAAGAUUCCCUAGGAGGUCUUUUUUGUCCUUGGAGGUUUCUAAAACUCAGGUGGACACAGUCCUAAGUGAUCUGCCUUCAUGCUGAAAUUAGCCCUGCUUUCAGUGAGAAGUUGGAGCACAUGACCUUCCCAGGUCCCUUAAGGGUUCAGUCACUCUACAUCUAUGCUACUAUGACCCUGCAAUCAUGUUAUGAAUCCCAGGUCAGGAGAUAACAAGUCUCAGGGUUGCCCAAGCAUGGUCCUGUAUCCUUACCCUCAGCAGCAAUGGCAUUUGCUCUGCUGGUGGUGCAGGUCAUCUCCCAUUGGAGGCAUGUGCCAUCGGAGGCACAGCAUCCAACCCUUCUAGGAGAAAGUCCUUGGCUGCCAAAAUAAAUGCAUUUCAGGCACGCAUUUGAACCAGUCUGGGGUUGAAGGACUCGUAUCACACCACCAAAGGUCAGGUGGAGAUCCAGGGCAGCUCCAGUCUGGGGGCAUUUUGGCACAGCGAGUUGUUUGUCCAGCACAACCACUUGCUGGUGUGGCGUCAACACAUGGAGCACGUCUGAGCACAGCCCAGGCUGCUGCACACCGGGGUUCUGUGUCAGUAUGUGCAGCACAAAUAGGCACCAGCACAGGUCACUUCAUGUCUGGGUCUGCUUUCAUCCCCUGAUGCUUCGGGUCAUCAGGCGUCACAGCCCGGAAAAUGAUUUUCCAGCAUUUGUGGAACGAAGGCUGCUCAAGAAACAAUUAGAUCAGCCUCUCAUCUUUUGAAAGCAAAUUGUUUAAAACCAAAAGCCAUAGGAUUGUGUACAUUUGUCUUUUCAACCCAGCAGUAAGUAUGUUAAUGUGCAGUAAAUCAUUAUUCACAGAAUCUCAGAAUAUGCUGAGCUGGAAGGAACCCCUGAGGAUCAUGGAGUCCAGCUCCUGGCCCUGCACAGCACCAUCCCCAGGUGUCA